ACGGAGGGUGCAAGCGUUGUUCGGAAUUAUUGGGCGUAAAGGGCGCGUAGGCGGUUUUGUAAGUCAGAUGUGAAAUACCUCGGCUCAACCGGAGAACUGCAUCUGAAACUUCAUAACUUGAAUACUGAAGAGGGAAGUGGAAUUCCUGGUGUAGGGGUGAAAUUCGUAGAUAUCAGGAGGAACACCGGUGGCGAAGGCGGCUGCCUGGACAGAUAUUGACGCUGAGGCGCGAAAGUGUGGGGAGCAAACAG
rnacentral:rRNA from 1 species